rnacentral:rRNA from 1 species
CGGGGAUAACAGGCUGAUCUUCCCCAAGAGUCCAUAUCGACGGGAUGGUUUGGCACCUCGAUGUCGGCUCGUCGCAUCCUGGGGCUGGAGUCGGUCCCAAGGGUUGGGCUGUUCGCCCAUUAAAGCGGUACGCGAGCUGGGUUUAGAACGUCGUGAGACAGUUCGGUCCCUAUCCGCUGUGCGCGUAGGAAUAUUGAGAAGGGCUGUCCCUAGUACGAGAGGACCGGGACGGACGAACCUCUGGUGUGCCAGUUGUCCUGCCAAGGGCAUGGCUGGUUGGCUACGUUCGGGAGGGAUAACCGCUGAAAGCAUCUAAGCGGGAAGCCUGCUUCGAGAUGAGUAUUCCCACCCCCUUGAGGGGUUAAGGCUCCCAGUAGACGACUGGGUUGAUAGGCCAGAUCUGGAAGGCGGGUAACCGCUGGAGGUGACUGGUACUAAUAGGCCGAGGGCUUGUCCUCAGUUG